rnacentral:lncRNA from 1 species
ACAGGAUAAUUAUUGUCUUCCUUUAACAAAUGAGGAAACUAAGGCAGGGCAGGGAGGAAACCCUUCCUCCAGCAGAAGAACCCCCUGUGCAAUAUUCUUUGCAAUAUUCUUUUCAACCCAGCCUUCAGAAACAGGGAAGCUCCCCACGCCCUGGUGCUUCUGCAUGGCUGGGACUUGCAUUCACUCAGUCUUGUGCUGUGAGGUAUGAGCGGUUUUAAGGUGACAUCCACAUCCUCUUAUAACAUGAGAUGGGUGGAUUAUUUUAUCCUAGGUCAUGAAGAUUCCUAUCAGGGUAAAUGCUUUUGUUUUUAGAAUGUUCUUAAGGAAUAAAUACAAUAGUGACAAUUUCAGGAAGGGUGAGGAAGAUGUAAAUCCCUUGAGUCACAUAAGGUACCAGGGUCUGGUCCAGCCAGAAGCGGGUCAGUGGGCCCUGACUCGAGGCUGGGCACUCGGCUAGUGGAGGAGAGCCUGUGUGGGGGGUGGCAGGGGCACCAUCACCCCUCCCAGGAAUAUCGGCAGAAGCCAUUUUAAUAACCGUAAUGACUCACUAGGGACUUCACCGUAAUGACUCACUAGGGACUUUCCUCUAUGGUAUCCACAUGAGGAAAUUAAGGAAUCGGUUGAAAACAUUUUCAAGGACUGCAUUGGGUUACUAAACUAAAGGUCAAGAUGUCAGGAAACCACCUGCGGGUCAUCCUCCCCCAGCAGCACCUCCGGUGGCUUGCUCUUUCCUUAGGUGGCAGGGACCAGCUGGCAGCUUGUUUCCCUUUCCUUCCUUCAACACCCUCGCCCACCCAUCCCUCCCCACGCCACGGUCAGUCUCCAGCAGACAGACCUGCCCUUGCUUCUGAGUAGAACUGGGGACUUUUCCUUUUUUUUUUUUUUUUAAUGGGUAAUCACUUUUGCUAAUCACUUUUUUAACAAGACAAAAGCAAGACAGGAUGAUUAGUAAGAUUCUAGAAUCUUUAUGUUCUUUGUAUUUGAGAUCCCUGGUCCAUGGUGCUUUCUCUCUUUCUGAAGAGAGCUAUCAACUGAUUUGAAGCUCAGUCUUACAUUUCAAUUUCAUGCCAUUCAGGAAAUAGGUAUUA